rnacentral:rRNA from 1 species
AACGAACGCUGGCGGCAGGCUUAACACAUGCAAGUCGAACGCAUGUCUUCGGACAUGAGUGGCAGACGGGUGAGUAACACGUGGGAAUCUACCUAGCUCUGCGGAACAACUCCGGGAAACUGGAGCUAAUACCGCAUACGCCCUAACGGGGAAAGGUUUACUGGAGUUAGAUGAGCCCGCGUCGGAUUAGCUAGUUGGUGGGGUAAAGGCCUACCAAGGCGACGAUCCGUAGCUGGUCUGAGAGGAUGAUCAGCCACACUGGGACUGAGACACGGCCCAGACUCCUACGGGAGGCAGCAGUGGGGAAUAUUGGACAAUGGGGGCAACCCUGAUCCAGCCAUGCCGCGUGAGUGAUGAAGGCCCUAGGGUUGUAAAGCUCUUUCACCGGUGAAGAUAAUGACGGUAACCGGAGAAGAAGCCCCGGCUAACUUCGUGCCAGCCGCCGCCGUAAAAC